rnacentral:rRNA from 1 species
GACAGCAGUCGCCGCGGGAAUACGUAGGGCGCAAGCGUUGUCCGGAAUUAUUGGGCGUAAAGAGCUCGUAGGCGGUCUGUCGCGUCUGGUGUGAAAUCCCGAGGCUCAACCUCGGGCUUGCAUCGGGUACGGGCAGACUAGAGUGCGGUAGGGGAGACUGGAAUUCCUGGUGUAGCGGUGGAAUGCGCAGAUAUCAGGAGGAACACCGAUGGCGAAGGCAGGUCUCUGGGCCGCAACUGACGCUGAGGAGCGAAAGCAUGGGGAGCGAACAGGAUUAGAUACCCCCGUAGUCCCUGUCUCUUAUAC